rnacentral:rRNA from 1 species
AUAUUGGACAAUGGGUGAGAGCCUGAUCCAGCCAUCCCGCGUGAAGGACGACGGCCCUAUGGGUUGUAAACUUCUUUUGUACAGGGAUAAACCCAGAUACGUGUAUCUGGCUGAAGGUACUGUACGAAUAAGCACCGGCUAACUCCGUGCCAGCAGCCGCGGUAAUACGGAGGGUGCAAGCGUUAUCCGGAUUUAUUGGGUUUAAAGGGUCCGUAGGCGGGCCCGUAAGUCAGUGGUGAAAUCUCGCAGCUUAACUGUGAAACUGCCAUUGAUACUGCGGGUCUUGAGUAAAUUUGAAGUGGCUGGAAUAAGUAGUGUAGCGGUGAAAUGCAUAGAUAUUACUUAGAACACCAAUUGCGAAGGCAGGUCACUAAGAUUUAACUGACGCUGAUGGACGAAAGCGUGGGGAGCGAACAGG